rnacentral:rRNA from 1 species
GACGAACGCUGGCGGCGUGCUUAACACAUGCAAGUCGAACGGAAAGGCCCUGCUUUUGUGGGGUGCUCGAGUGGCGAACGGGUGAGUAACACGUGAGUAACCUGCCCUUGACUUUGGGAUAACUUCAGGAAACUGGGGCUAAUACCGGAUAGGAGCUCCUGCUGCAUGGUGGGGGUUGGAAAGUUUCGGCGGUUGGGGAUGGACUCGCGGCUUAUCAGCUUGUUGGUGGGGUAGUGGCUUACCAAGGCUUUGACGGGUAGCCGGCCUGAGAGGGUGACCGGCCACAUUGGGACUGGGAUACGGCCCAGACUCCUACGGGGGGCAGCAGUGGGGAAUAUUGCACAAUGGGCGGAAGCCUGAUGCAGCAACGCCGCGUGCGGGAUGACGGCCUUCGGGUUGUAAACCGCUUUCGCCUGGGACGAAGCGUGAGUGACGGUAAUGGGUAAAGAAGCACCGGCUAACUACGUG